rnacentral:rRNA from 1 species
GUGGGGAAUAUUGGACAAUGGGGGGAACCCUGAUCCAGCCAUGCCGCGUGUGUGAAGAAGGCCUUUUGGUUGUAAAGCACUUUAAGCGAGGAGAAGGCUACCGAGAUUAAUACUCUUGGAUAGUGGACGUUACUCGCAGAAUAAGCACCGGCUAACUCUGUGCCAGCAGCCGCGGUAAUACAGAGGGUGCAAGCGUUAAUCGGAUUUACUGGGCGUAAAGCGCGCGUAGGUGGCCAAUUAAGUCAAAUGUGAAAUCCCCGAGCUUAACUUGGGAAUUGCAUUCGAUGGUGGUUGGCUAGAGUAUGUGAGAGGAUGGUAGAAUUCCAGGUGUAGCGGUGAAGUGCGUAGAGAUCUGGAGGAAUACCGAUGGCGAAGGUAGCCAUCUGGCCUAAUACUGACACUGAGGUGCGAAAGCAUGGGGAGCAAACAGGAUUAGAUACCCCAGUAGUCC